rnacentral:lncRNA from 1 species
AUGUGAUUUCUUUUGUGAUGCUUAUUUGCUCGUUUUUAUAGUUUUAUUUUAUUUACCUUCUCUUACAGCAAUCAAAUCGGAUGGAGAACAUCACACAACAGGUAAACAUUCUUGUAUACUGAUAUUGAAAAAUUACAUCUUUGUUUGAUUCAGAUAGUUUUUAGCAAGAGGAUGGAUAUACUGUGAUGUUAUUUCUGAUUAAUAGUUUUUUGGCAAAAUUUUAUGAUAAGCCUUUCUCCAGGACAUAAAGAAAAUGGUGGCACUUUGGGUUUUGAAGACGCCGCCUCGCGUAGGACUACGAACAUGGGACGCUCAGUCGAGUUUUUCUUAACUCGUCAGGAUUCUCAUGCUGCAAAUUUAGUAACGGGGCAAAAUUUUUGGUGUCCUGUUGUGUUUGCGGAUUGAUGAAAAUUUGGCGAGGGAGAUCAUAAACCAUCGCUCGCUGCAGCACAUCAAUUGUUGAAUUCGUUUGAAGGAGCUGUCAAUUGUUGAAUUCGCUUGAAGGAGGUGUGUUUGCUCUCUGUUCCCUUGAGUCAAUCACCAUGAUUUUACAUCGAGACGAUGUUUCUUCUUCAAAAGGGGAUGAUGAACAACAUGGGAACAAGGAGGAACUUUACCCGCCUGUUAUAGACUAAGCACUAAAAGCAUGCUUGCAUUCACUUUAGCUUGUUCAUUCUGUUAUAGGGCAGUGCUUUCGUUAUGCGUAUGAUGCUUUCAGUUUAUUGAAAGAUUUGUUCCAAGGAUAAAUUCUGAUCUUUUGAAACUAUGUUUUUUUAGUGAUAACCUUUAUAAGUUGGACUGUUUAUGGGCGCUGGAAGUCUUGUAAUAACCGUUGUUGUACAUACGUUUAUCAUCAUAAGAGAGAUAAUAUAUUCUUUUGAUCCUCACAAAUUUUUGCAGAUGGAGCUCGUUUGGCUGAAUUUGCUACUGAGCUGCCACAUUUUGAGGGCCUGCAAUUGAAGAAUACAACACUUGAGAUAACAAUUGAAGAAUACUAGAGUAAUAAUAACUACUGCAAGAUUGAUGUAUUUUCUUUUUGUUGGAGAUUUUCUGCAUCUUUUAUGGACGGUAACAUUUGAGAUAACAAUUUGAUGUGCUAACCAUCAAGAUCAACUUUGACAUGUUUGGUCUCUAAAAGUUACUAUUGACCAUCAUUAGUACAUCCUAUAAGGUAUAGUAAGUAC